rnacentral:rRNA from 1 species
AACAGGAUUAGAUACCCUGGUAGACCACGCCCUAAACGAUGUCUACUAGUUGUCGGGUCUUAAUUGACUUGGUAACGCAGCUAACGCGUGAAGUAGACCGCCUGGGGAGUACGGUCGCAAGAUUAAAACUCAAAGGAAUUGACGGGGACCCGCACAAGCGGUGGAUGAUGUGGAUUAAUUCGAUGCAACGCGAAAAACCUUACCUACCCUUGACAUGGAUGGAAUCCCGGAGAGAUUUGGGAGUGCUCGAAAGAGAACCAUCACACAGGUGCUGCAUGGCUGUCGUCAGCUCGUGUCGUGAGAUGUUGGGUUAAGUCCCGCAACGAGCGCAACCCUUGUCAUUAGUUGCUACGAAAGGGCACUCUAAUGAGACUGCCGGUGACAAACCGGAGGAAGGUGGGGAUGACGUCAAGUCCUCAUGGCCCUUAUGGGUAGGGCUUCACACGUCAUACAAUGGUACAUACAGAGCGCCGCCAACCCGCGAGGGGGAGCUAAUCGCAGAAAGUGUAUCGUAGUCCGGAUUGUAGUCUGCAACUCGACUGCAUGAAGUUGGAAUCGCUAGUAAUCGCGGAUCAGCAUGUCGCGGUGAAUACGUUCCCGGGUCUUGUACACACCGCCCGUCACACCAUGGGAGCGGGUUUUACCAGAAGUAGGUAGCUUAACCGUAAGGAGGGCGCUUACCACGGUAGGAUUCGUGACUGGGGUGAAGUCGUAACAAGGUAACC